GACGAACGCUGGCGGCGUGCUUAACACAUGCAAGUCGAACGGUGAAAGCGGAGCUUGCUCCGCUGGAUCAGUGGCGAACGGGUGAGUAACACGUGGGCAACCUGCCCCUCACUUCGGGAUAACUCCGGGAAACCGGGGCUAAUACCGGAUAUGACCUCCUUGGGCAUCCUUGGAGGUGGAAAGUUUUUCGGUGAGGGAUGGGCCCGCGGCCUAUCAGCUUGUUGGUGCGGUAGUGGCUCAACAAGGCGACGACGGGUAGCCGGCCUGAGAGGGCUACCGGCCACACGGGGACUGAGACACGGCCCAGACUCCUACGGGAGGAAGCAGUAGGGAAUCUUCCGCAAUGGACGAAAGUCUGACGGAGCAACGCCGCGUGAGUGAUAAAGGCUUUCGGGUCGUAAAACUCUGUUGUUAGGGAAGAACAAGUGCUAGUUGAAUAAGCUGGCACCUUGACGGUACCUAACCAGAAAGCCACGGCUAACUACGUGCCAGCAGCCGCCGUAA
rnacentral:rRNA from 1 species